UGUGCCGGCGCGUACGACGG
rnacentral:snRNA from 1 species